rnacentral:sRNA from 1 species
ACCUACCACGUCAUCAGCGCGUUCCAACACAAUCGUUGUACCCGUACUCGCAUUGGCAUCAGUCGGAUCAUUUUUCGUGUUUGAAUCGGCUCUGCCACCUGUUGGAGAUCAUCGAGUUAAGGUAAAAAAUAUACAAAAAUUAGCAAAAUUGGGUCUGCUAGACUACAAACUACAACCAUUUUCGUGCGCAGUGAAGCGAUGGGACAACCUGACACCGAAAAUAAAAUAAAUUAAUAAAUUUUUUUUUCAGCGCUCUUUCCUGGAGUCACUAAACCAUCAAGAAGGUCUCCCACUGGAAGGAAUUCUUAAAAUGUGGCCAAUUUUCACGUCGUACACUGAUAUGCUUGGUUAUAUAAUUGGAUCGAUGGCCGCUGUUUGCUAUUUCGGUGGAAGAAUUCCCCAAAUUAUCAAAAACUACCGGCAUUCUUCGUGUGAAGGACUCUCGUUGACCAUGUUCUACAUUAUUGUCGCUGCCAAUUUUACUUACGGGAUCUCUGUGCUAUUGGCAACGACUAGUUGGCUUUAUUUGUUGAGG